rnacentral:rRNA from 1 species
UGAACGCUGGCGGCGUGCCUAAUACAUGCAAGUCGAGCGAACAGACGAGGAGCUUGCUCCUCUGACGUUAGCGGCGGACGGGUGAGUAACACGUGGAUAACCUACCUAUAAGACUGGGAUAACUUCGGGAAACCGGAGCUAAUACCGGAUAAUAUAUUGAACCGCAUGGUUCAAUAGUGAAAGACGGUUUUGCUGUCACUUAUAGAUGGAUCCGCGCCGCAUUAGCUAGUUGGUAAGGUAACGGCUUACCAAGGCAACGAUGCGUAGCCGACCUGAGAGGGUGAUCGGCCACACUGGAACUGAGACACGGUCCAGACUCCUACGGGAGGCAGCAGUAGGGAAUCUUCCGCAAUGGGCGAAAGCCUGGCGGAGCAACGCCGCGUGAGUGAUGAAGGUCUUCGGAUCGUAAAACUCUGUUAUUAGGGAAGAACAAAUGUGUAAGUAACUAUGCACGUCUUGACGGUACCUAAUCAGAAAGCCACGGCUAACUACGUG